GAUGAACGCUGGCGGCGUGCCUAAUACAUGCAAGUCGAGCGGACAGACGAGGAGCUUGCUCCUCUGACGUUAGCGGCGGACGGGUGAGUAACACGUGGAUAACCUACCUAUAAGACUGGGAUAACUUCGGGAAACCGGAGCUAAUACCGGAUAAUAUAUUGAACCGCAUGGUUCAAUAGUGAAAGACGGUUUUGCUGUCACUUAUAGAUGGAUCCGCGCCGCAUUAGCUAGUUGGUAAGGUAACGGCUUACCAAGGCAACGAUGCGUAGCCGACCUGAGAGGGUGGUCGGCCACACUGGAACUGAGACACGGUCCAGACUCCUACGGGAGGCAGCAGUAGGGAAUCUUCCGCAAUGGGCGAAAGCCUGACGGAGCAACGCCGCGUGAGUGAUGAAGGUCUUCGGAUCGUAAAACUCUGUUAUUAGGGAAGAACAAAUGUGUAAGUAACUAUGCACGUCUUGACGGUACCUAAUCAGAAAGCCACGGCUAACUACGUG
rnacentral:rRNA from 1 species